GGUGUCACUUGGUGAGAUUAUCUUGUGUGUCACAGGCACAGAAGGUAUGUUUGCUGACCUAGGACAUUUCAACAUCAGGGUUGUUCAGGUGGUUUACCUGAGGAAAUUCCCACACAA